AUAAAUGCAACUUGGCCUAUUCCAUCUUUGUUUUUUCCUGGAAUUAAGAAGAGUCUCCCUACACCUUUGAGCUCUUAUAAACUUGUACUAACCUAAAUGUAUAGGCAGGCUAGAAGUAAUUUGCAGAUGGCAUUUUAAGAAAAAAACAUGUUCACGUUCAAUAAAACGCCCUAUGUGAUUGUACAAAGUGUAUUUGUUAUUAAAGUACCCAGGGUAAAUGUUCAUAUGCCUGUUUAUGCCUUCUGUUCAACAGAAGAAAAGAAUAGGUGCUGGGACUCACAGAGCUCAGGUUUUAACAACUUUAGGAGGCAAGUUUGCCUUGCAGGCCAUUUACAAAGUAUUUCUACCACCUCUGACAUCAGAGUUAUAAAUGUUUAAAAGACUGCACAGUGACUUUAUAGCUUUCCUGCAUUUAAUUUAUGUUCACACAAACUGUAAAAGAGAGAAAGCUAGUACUUUCUCUUUUCUCUUGCUGUUACAUAAUGCAUUCACACAUUAAGUAGACAAAAUUGAUCCUUCUAUUCUCCAGCUGCAGACUUUUGACUUUAUUCCCCAAAUAUUCAGAGUUUGUAUGGAAAAGGAGCUCAAGGUAGGGGAAGGGAAAAGACAUUUUAUUCUCUACCUUUUUGUCCUUUAAACUGUGUGAUCAAAAGUAUCAUCAUGUGGCACCACAGUGGGGGGGAAGAUAGAGUAAACAGACUGGAGAAUGAAUUGGACUAAUAUAAUGGAGUUUCACGCCUCCCCUCUUUUUUUAAAACAUAUUAAGGUUUAUUCAUUCCACAAACAUGCUAAGCAUCUGUAAUAUGUCUGGUGUUGUUCUAGACCCUUGGGAUACAUUAAUGAACAGAAAAAUGAAUAAAGAUAAAGCCUUCCUGAGGCUUAUAUUCUAGGGCUUGAUCAUUGAGUCAUAGAACCCGAUUCAAAUUGUUCAGAUUAUUUUUCCCCAAAUGGUCUUACUACUCUUACUCUCAUCAAAGACUUCAGUUCCUGUUAAUUUUCCUUACCAUUUCUGUUGCAAUUUUCAUUUGCUCAGUGCUCUAACUCCAGUUGUUACCCAAGGAGACUGCAUAAUCUCAUUUCUUGGACAUUUCUUCAAUUCACAUCCAUUCUUUCUGUCAUUAUACACUUGCUAUGGACAGAGAAAUAGACAGAGGUAAUGACCGAAGAGUCUUUGUAGUCCUAGUUCUGUAAAUAUCUAAGCAUCAAGUGUCUACUCAAAGUAGGUAAGUAUUGUUUUCUUUCUUUGUAAUGUAGCGAACAAAGUUCAAGGAGGCUGCAAAUGGGAAAGGCUUGAAAAGAGUCAAGGUUUAGACUUCUCACUUUGAAUUCAGUACUGAGACUAUGAAGAUUGCUGCUUGUUCUGUUUAUUCUCCCAUUCAUUUAUGCAUUCAUGACUCCUUCAUCCAGUACACCUUCAGUUACUGCAAAACUAUGUGCCAGACACUGCCCCACCUGGCGAGGGGAGCUAAGAUACACCAGAAAUUCAUUGCCCCCUGGAUUCAGUCUGGCGGGAGACCAGGAUGCUUCUUUGCAAGCACAGUUCUUAAUUUCACGUCAUGGAGGACUUAAGUGUUUCUUCAGCUGGCUUUUGUCUUUUUCAGUAUUUUUGUGGCAAGUUAUCUUUGCCAGCAGAGGAAUACACUAUUAACAUGUUGCAUACAGAACUGAGUUCUUUGACAUGUCCGUGCGUAUACACAUGCAUACGCAGACACGUGCACAAAGAUUUAUUUUUCCUCAACUUCACUGAACUGUUUUUCCUUCAGUUAUCUGCUGAGGGAAUAUAGAAAUAUGCAAGCUUUUCAGAAGUCCAAUGGGAUUCAUGCCCAACUGAGGUAUUUCACUCUGCACUCUGUGUCAGUUCCUGGAAAUUAACAAUGACCAUUUCACUUUGGUCUUUGAUCCCACCAGCUCUGUCACGGUAUUUUUCCAGAUGUUUCCGUCUUGAGUUGCUAUUAUAAAAAAGCACAGCACAAGUUAAACUAGGACAAGUUGGCCUAUCCUGGGGUCUGAGGAAUGUGUUUUCCACCAAAUACACUGGUCAUGUGCCACAGAAGAGUUAGAAAGAAAAACUCAGACUUCAUAAUCAGAGUGGUCCUUUCAAUUUUAAGUGUAUUUCAGAAAAAGUACCAUGCCCAGCCCCAGUAAAUUGACUCAAGACCCUAGAGCUUCUCCAAGACAUUGGUUUGGACUGCUUGUAGUAAAAUUGAUUUACGUUUUAAAAUCAGUUACCAUGAUAUUUUCUCUCAGUUUAAUUUUUGCUGGAGUUGAGGUAGAUCAAGUUUCUGUGGGCUUUUUUUUUGCCAUUUGUAUAAUACACUCAGGGGACUAAAUGCCAAUAGGCAUAGGAAGAAACCUCAGUUACUAGCAGGUAUAUCAUUUAGAUGGUUGGGCAGGGAUAGGACAAAUAAUUGGUGUUAUCAUGCCUUAUAUUCAAGUUUUGUAAGCAAGAAUUUCAUAGCAUGUUUUAACACAAAUGGCAAAAAAAAGUAAGCCCACAGAAACUUGAAGCAUUAUACAUGAAAUUUACUAAACUAGAAAUAAGGAGAAGAAGUGAAAACAGUACCCCCAAGAAAGUCCCAGAAGACUGAUAACACCAAAUGAAGGGACCCUUGCUCUACCUCAACUCCAGCCAAAUUUCACCAUGAAGACUGUCCUAAAACACAUGCCCUGAAACUUAAUGUGAUAUUAUAAAAGCAAUUUCCUGGAAAGUGACACAAUAAGCUUCUACUGAGCUGUGGCUAAAAUCUGAUACUAGAAAGAGGAAGACGGAAGAUGGAAUUAGGAAGACGUUGUGUGAAUGUUGACACACAUUCUCAGAGAUAAUGCUUAUUUUAUUAUGCAUUUCUCAUUUGGUUUGUGCUACUACUAACACAUAAUGUUAUUUACUGAGCUUGAUUUCCAAAUAGGUAAUAUCUUUUAAAAUCCAUAUAGUCCGUACAAAAAUGUAUAGAUAUGUGAAUAAAAAGACAUGUGAGAAUGUUUACAGAAUUAUUUUUUUGUAGCAAACACUGGAAAUUGUCCAAAUUUCUAUCAAUAGUAGAAUGGAUAAACUGUGGUAUAUUCAUAUAAUGAAAUGCUAUGCAGCAAUGAAAAUAAGCCAAUUCUAAUUAUACUCAUCACUAUAGAUGACUCUCGUAAACAUAAAUUUGAGUCAAAGAUGCCAUAGCAAAAGAGCCCAUAAUUUAAGAUUCCAUUUAUUUAAGUACAAAGAGCAGCCAAACCAAUCUAUUUUGUCAGGAGGUUGGAUAACCCUUGGGAGGGGUUAGUGAUUAAAAAGGAUCAGAAGGAGGGCUACUGGGGUGCUGGUCAAUUUUUUUUUAAUUUGAGUAAAGGUUACACAGUGUAUUCAGCUUAUGAAAAUUCGUUGAACACUGCCCUUAUAUGCACACUUGUCAAUAUGCAUGUUAGAGUUUAAUAUACUUGUGCAAAUGCAAACAUAUGUUCACUUAUUAAAGGGAGCAACACAGCAGAAAAAUUUAUUUAAGACAUACUAAAAGGAAAAAAACCUAGUCAGGUAUGAUGGCACACGCCUGUAGUCCCAGCUACCCAGGAGGUUGAGGCAGGAGGAUCUCUUGAGCAGAGAAUUGAGGCCAGCCUGGGCAACAUAGUGAGACCCACCUCCCUACCUCCAAUCCCUAAAAUGAAAAGAUCCUGAGUAGCCGUGGGUUUGACGUUUAAAUGGGAACAUAAUUUAUGAAUAUUUCAAUCUUAUUUUCCACUUUCAAGAGUAGGAUAUUUUCCUGAGUUACAUGUUUUAGUUAUUAUUUGACCACAGAUGCUGAAGAACUGGCGUAAAAUAUUGUUUGUUACAAGUAUGUUGAAUUGGAUUAAAAUGAAUAACAAAUGCUAUUUUUUCUUCAUAAAUAUUCCAGAUUUCUUGGAUUAAAUAUCAUCUUCUCCCUUUUUUCAAAGUCCACAAUAUUUUGUGUGUUCCUUAAUGAUGCAUAUAUUGUACUACUUUUUAUUGCAUAUAAUUUUAUAAAUCUUUGGGGUUAAGUCUCAUUCAUCUUUGAAUCUACUGUGAUAUCUGCAGAAGGCAGGUAUAUAGUGAAGUUCUUAAGAGAGUGCUUACUGAUGCUAGACAUGGGUUCUGAGGUUCUGGUUUCCUCACUGUCAUUUGCCCUUCUGUACUUCAGUUCCUUCUCUAUAAAAUGGGGACAAUUGCGGCAUCUGCUUCUUACUGUGGUAAAGAUGAAAUGAAUCAAUCGACAUAAAGCUCUGAGGACAGUUCCCGAAACAUAAUGCUCAGGAAUUGUUAGCUGCACUUUUUAGGCAUUGCAGUAUAAUUAAGAUUCUGAUAGUGAUUCCUGAAUGAGAAAAAGAAAAAAAAAUUAGAAAGACUUAGAAGUAGUGGUGAGUCAAAAGUCACAUGUAAAAAUAUAGAAUUGCUUGGUAGAGUUUCUGCCUGCUAAUUCUCCAGUACAAUUUGUUUCUCAGAUGUUCUUCAAAUAAAGUGCACUGAUCACUUGUAGUUAAAUAUAUUCAAAGUAUUAUAAAUCAUCCUGGUCAUAACCAAUUCCUAGAUUAUUUUUUGUAAAUAUUUGAUAGUCUCCUGAUUCAGUUAGGUAGGCAGGACUAUGGUAACAAAUCGACCCAAAAAAUGUAUAAUGACUGAAACACAAUAAAGGUUUAUUUCUAGCUCACGUUACAGCCCAAGUAGAUAAGACUAGUCAGCUUCCAUAUGAUGAUUCAAGAACCCAGGUUUUAUCAAUAGGUAUAACAUCCCCUAAGUCUCUUCUAUUCUUAUGUCCCGCUGACAGAAGGGAAAGAGAAUGUGGGAGGCUGCAUCCAUCUACUUCUCUUAAAAGCCAUGAUGGGAAAUAGCACACGUCACUCACUCUCAUAUUCCUUGGCUAGAUUUCACCUAAUGGCCACAUCCCGCUGAAGAGACACUGGGAAAUUUAGUGUAAGUAUGUGCCUCAGGAGAAUGAAUUGAAUUUUACAAAUAGCUGGCAGUGCUCAUCAUUAUUUAGAGGUAGACGAGGGCUGUAGUUUUACUUCCUGACAAUUCCAUUGCAAAUACAGAAGCAUCCUCAUAACAUUCCCACACAGGUAUGUCAUAGCAACCAGGCUUCAUAAUCAGAGUGCCUUUUCUGAAGCUCAUCAAAGUCCCAGGUCUCUGUCCCUGUAGGUGCUUUACUCACAGCUGACAUGAAAGGGUCCUCUGGAGAUAAACACAACACUAUUCUAGGGGCAGGACUUGGUUAAGCUUAGAGAUGGAAUCAGGCAACCAAAGUCCUGUGAAUCAUGCCUGGAUAUACCACUGUUUUGGAAUCAAGCUCAGCAACCAUUUCCAAAAACAGCUCACUUCCAAAAAGUGGCUCACCUCCUUAGCUCACUGGAUUAUUCUAGUAUUACACAUAAGAGGGAAGAAUGUCUUUAAAUUCUAUCCACUUUACAUAUUUUGAGCACCAAUAAUUUUACUAACAAAACUCUCACCUCUUAUGUCCAUUUUGCCAAUUAAAAAGCUUCUUAGGUUAGUGUGGACAUAAAAAUAAGGAAAGCGGAUCUGCAGCAGCCAACCUGGAGUGUGGCCUCUUGAUGAAAUACUAGCAACUACAGUGGACGUGCAUAUUCCUACAUAGAGCAACUAACCACCCCUCAGGUAUAGAAAGGUUACUCACACAUACAUAUCAUACCGUCUGUCCAUGCAGCAAAAUAUUAUAAAAGGUAAAUAUAGCCUUUUAUUUAAAUACCCCUCUGACAGAGAUAGUCAGUGAAGAAGGCUCCCCUAUAAUAAACCGCUUAUUUAUAAUACAGUGGCUUAGCAUGUUAUAAUUGCUUGAAAUAUGGAAUGUUGUCCGUAAGUCAAGCAGCUGUGCUGUGCUAUCAGGAGGUUGUUGUAGCUUUCUGUUUUUCCCCUGCAAAGAUUUAUAGGGGGCAAUGACUUCUUGAUUCAAUAACCCCCAGAAAAGGAAGUAAUGAAAUGUUAACAUUCUUCCUAGACUUCACUUUUGAAAAGCAUCCUGAAGCUACUGUGGGCUGAUUGAUCAUCUCAGUGGGGGUGUCCUCUGGGAGGUUUUGUACAAAAUACUCUUAGAUUGUGCAAUGAGGAGCUGCAUUUCCCCAGAACAUGAGAAAUACCUGUUGUGAAGGUUAUUCAUGUAUUUUUUUUGCAUACUCAGAAAUUCUUGUUUUUCGUGACUGUCUUUUUUUUGGUUUUGUCAUUGUUGGUGGGAUGGGGAGAAAGAGGAUCUGUUUCUCUGAAAUGAUAUUUGAAGUGAGUUUUUAGAUCCUAGAUGGAAAGUUCAUUUCUAAGUUGUGUAAUAACAUUGUUUUGAAGUUUAGCGGUGGUGUUCCACGGGGAUGCUGGAGACCACCCUACUUGUGCUUGGAGGCUGCUGUCUUCAUUCACUGUGGUUUUCACCAUGGCAAUGGGAAUAGAAUUUCAGCUCUCUGAGCUCUUCUGCAUUCUUAACUAAGCUUGCAUAAUACAGCUGAGGACAAAGCAGUUGCCUGCUGAAAGCCAAAUGAAUGCAUCAAUUUGGCCUCAAGAUUUUUGAACUGUUGUGAAAGAGUUUUUGUGUCUUGGGUUUCUUUUUUUCUUUCAAAUCACCACUAGCAAAUUUUUUCUUCAGAUGAUAUCUUUGUUAUCCAAAAUUAUGAUGUAUAAUGAAGAUAGGUAGACGGUUUUAACACAUGAUUUACAAACGACUUUCAGAGUCUAGAUAAGUCUUAAGAAUUUUUACAUUAAGCGAAAGCUUCCGUUUUAAACGUUUGUCUGGUAUUUUGUGCUGGCCAUGAUCCAACACAAGAUUAUUGCUUCUGUGACAAAAACGAUAAACUCCGUAGAACCUGGCUUACAGAUCUUACCGUAUUAUUGAAUAGCACUGAAUGGUAUUGAGUUAUUCUUUUUCUAGAUGACAGAGCUGAAAGGAAGCUAUUGUUAGAGAACAAUUUAUUUUUGAAUCGUUUCUUUUCCUUUCCUUUCACAUUAUAGUUUCCCUAACCAAAUGACAGUUUUAAUUACUGUUACCUGAAGACGUUCUGGUCAGUUUUACCCAAAUAAUUCGAUGGUUGCUUUAGGAAACAUAAAGAGCAAGUGCAUUUAUUGAACUGUCAUCAACCCUGUAUACUGUGGAAGGCAGGCAUUUGAAUCAAUAAGUACAGCUUGGCUCAGAGACAUACAAAUCCCUGAAAUUCAUCAGCAAUGAGAACAGUGGGACAACAAAGAAUGCCUAUCAGUGGUAGUCAUGCAUAGUAUCUCAGUACAUUUCAAUUUUUUUUUUUUUUUUUUGCCACAGAGUCUCACUCUGUUGUCCAGGCCGGAGUCCAGUGGUCCUAUGUGAGCUCACUGUGACCUCCACCUCCCGGGUUCAAGUGAUUCUCCUGCCUCAGCCUCCCAAGUAGCUGGGAUUACAGGCAUGGGCCAUCAUGCCUGACUAAUGUUUGUAUUUUUAGUAGAGAUAGGGUUUCACCAUGUUGGUCAGGCUGGUCUCAAACUUCUGACCUCAGGCAAUUUGCCUGCCUCGGGCUCCCAAAGUGCUGGGAUUACAGGCAUGGGCCACCACACCCAGCAGUACAUUUCAGUUUGAGCUAUGAAGUCUAUAGACAUCAGGUAUGAUGACUCAGGGAAUGUCUUGAAGGACAAAUCAUUUAGAAAUAUGAAACCAAAGGCAUUUGGCUUGUAGAUUUAGGUGAUGUCAAAGUUACCUGCUUAACCCUACAGAUUCCUCAUAUCUUAGAGUGCACUAAGGUACCUUCCCACUAUGGUGCACAGAUGGACCACUGUUUUGAUUAUUGUGAUGGCUCUUUACAAAACAUUCAGGUGGCUUUGGGUUGGAAAAAGCCACGUAAGAAGUUUUUACUUUCUUAGAGAUGACCAUUAUAGUGAAUUAAAGAAUAAUGAUAACAACACAAACCUCUCAUUCCUUCUAUUACCGUUUAAAAAGUUUUUCUGAAUUACAUUUCUGGUCAUGCUGCUGGCAGCUCCAGACUCAAUCUGCCUUCUGUUUUGGAUGUUGACAGGCAGGGUGCCAUGGUGACGGGGCAUCGGCUGUUUUUCACGGUUCGCUUAUAGUUGAACUUGACUUUUAUUUUCAAUGGCUCAAGCCAAAGCAGUUCAAAGAUGAGGAAUAAGUGUUUGUUGUUUGUUUGGUACGAAAUAGAGGAAAGCACUAUAAUGAAAAUAGAAUGGGCCCAAAUCAUGGAAGAAUGCGUUAUUUAUUAAGUCAUUUUAGUUCCCUGUAAUAAGAACUGGGAAGUCCUGGAUGUUUGUAAUUGGCUAUGUAAGCAGUAAUCCUGCAAGAUCUGUGUAAGGAUCAAAUAUUGCACUUAAUUAAAGUGAUUGUACCGGGAACUUUCUAACAUUGUUUUCAAUUUGAGGAUGAAAAGGUAUCUUCAUUGCUAUGGAAUAAUUUCCUGCCCUUCUGUUCUGAUAGUCUGGGGAAAGACUUGUGCCUGCAUUAGGGCAGUUAAGUUUAGUCUACAAAUUAGACAACCAAGAUAUUUCCAUAAAUCAAAUAGAAAUUUCAAUUUAUAUCUAACUUAAUAAAUAUACAUUAAACUCAGCUAUUUCUUAGCAUAAUUGAAUAACUUAUUCAAUGGCUUUUGACACUUUGGAGAAUGCAUAUAUGUUGUAUUUACUUAUUUUAUUUCCAUUGUAUUUCAAAAGGGAUUUGAGAUAGCUAAGUAUAAACACACUGCUUUAGACCAUGUCAGGUACAAAGAUGCAUAAGUAGUCUCUGGCAUCCAUUUUGUUUACCCAGUUAUGCAGAAGGAAAGUGAAGCAUUGAACACUGUGUUCCAGACAGCAUCUGCCACCUUCCAUUCAUUCUCAGAAGAAAAACUACCCUGUUUCUUUCCAAGAGAAUCUACUACUGUUUAUCUGACUCUAAUAAUUGUUUUUUUAAAUAUAUUCAUUGAUGACUAAUUAAAUGAGUCGACCUUUAUAACAUGGUUCUUGAAGAAACAAGUUGAUAGGUCAUAAAUUCAUUGUUAAUAAUUAUGUGCAAAGGUGUAUGUUCUGUGUACUUGUGUAUGAAUGGCUCAGUGACUAUUAAAUUGAAACACCCUUUUAAACAAAUAUUUGUUAGGUAGCAGAGCAUCACUUUCAUAGUUCAUUACAUUUAACUCCUAUCUGUGGCUUAGAGAUUUUUUCCAUUAUAGGCAGAUAUCUUCUAAAGCAUUUCUAAGUUAUUUUCCUUAGCAAAUAUCAAGUUUAUAUGACAUGACCUAAUUCUUCCUGUUUUCAGUUUCUAAGACAUUUGGCCCAUGUCCCAUUUGACACUCACCUGCGAAGGAUCAAGAACGGUUAAUGAAGAUGUUUGUGGCUGAAAGUCUGGAAAACAGAAAAGUUAAUUGCUGUAGACAAAUGCCUUAGCCUGCAUCAAGGUGAACUUUAGACUGCAGUAUGUCCAGAAGGUGGGGGUACUCAGAAGGGCUUGGUCUGGAAGAAUCGGGCUCUGCUCUGGGAAAUCUUUCUCAGGCAUAGCAUCUAUAAAAGGACUGGAGAGAUGGAGAAAAUCAUUAAUGACUUGGUCAGUGCAGAAUUUUUUUAAGUGAAAAGGGGAAACUUUGGAAUCCGAUGGAGAAAUUAAUUGUCCAUGAAACUCAAAUAAAUACAAAUUAAUACAGUGGAAGCAGUGAAGGAUACUAGCUCAAAGCUUCGUGUGGUUUGCGAAAUUCUACUAGUAGAGGAAAAUUAAAUAAAGAUAUGGCUUUAACCUAGUCAUCUGUGCUGCAAGACCAGUCUGUGUAGAGGGCAUGGUCUGGAGACCCAUGUUGGCCUAAUGACUGGCAAACAGGGUUUCCUUGGUGUGUCGAUGAUGGUGGUGAGAAAAAUUACCUUGGAUCUCAUGCAAUCCCAGAACUUACCUCUAGGCUAAAGCCUGCAUUUGAUAUUCAGCAAGUCCUAGUGGUUGCUAUUUGCUUGUCAGCAUGACCACAAAAUUGUUUGAGGUGAUUCCAUUGUUUCUAUUAAGACUUAAAAUUAAAUGGACAGUAUUUAAGAAAAUCACCCCAUACUAUUAAAUGCUUUUGUAUUAAUAAAUCCAGAUGUAUAUGGCAUUUUAAGUGUGUAUCUUCACUGAACACUGAUUCCAUUACAAUGGGUAAUUAACUAUUUUAUUCAGACUUGGGUUUUUAAGUUGAAAUCUUAAUAAGUUUAUCAAAAAUAUUGAACAACUUGAGAUAACUUAGGAUCCGUUGUGUUUGGACUUUAAUUUGUUAUAUUGACAAGAACAACUUAUGUAUGUGGUAGUGUUUGUCAUCAAACAACUGAGGCAAGGAAAUGAAAAAGAAAAUGUAUAAAUGUAAGUUUCAAAUGUUUAAGGAAUUUGAUUAAAUACAUGAGACCAGGCAUUGAUCAAAGAUUCCCUAAAAGCAAUUGUUAAUAUUUCCUGAAUUUCAAAAGAGAAUUUAAAAAUAUUUAAAUUUGGAUUUAGAAACUUUGAGAGUAUUUAUUUUGAAAAAAAUAAAUUCUAGGUAAUCCUGUUUACCAAAAGCCACACAUUGAUACUAUCCUGACACAAUUCUUCCUCAAAUAGUGUAUUGUUUAUUGGUGGGAAAAAGGCUCCUGCCUGGUUGCGGUGGCUCAUGCCUGUAAUCCCAGCACUUUGGAAGGUGAAGACAGGCGGAUCAUGAGGUCAAGAGAUCAAGACCAUCCUGCCCAACAUGGUGAAACCCUAUCUCUACUAAAAAUACAAAAAUUAGCUGGGUAUGGUGGCACGUGCCUGUAGUCCCAGCUACUCGGGAAGCUGAGACAGGAGAAUCACUGGAACCCGGAAGGCAGAGGUUGCAGUGAAUGAAGAUCGUGCCACUGCAGUCCAGCCUGGCGACAGAGCAAGACUCCAUCUAAAAAAAAAAGGCUCCCAAACAGACAGCAUUUUACAUAACAAAUGUAAAUUGUUAUAUAAAACACAUCUAACACAUUGUUAUGUCAAGCCCUGAUUGGGAAAGAGUAUAAGCCAUUUUCUAUGGCACAGGAACUCAGCUGGACCAGGGAGCAAAACUGCAUUUUGAAACCUUAUUGUCAUUUCCCAUUCAUCACGAACUCUGGUGAGCUCAGUUACAAUGCAGAAUAAUAAGUUCAUGUCAGUCACACCCAUGAGGAUGCUUUUAUGUUACCCAUUGCAAAAAUACCUUGGACAGAUUCCAUCCUUUGCUUUAGUAGGAUGAGUCCUGCAGUUAACUCAGAUUGCGUUUGGGUAAAGAGCUGUCUCUGCCCUCGAGCAGCUUGGACUAAUCUGGUGAUUCCUUCAUUAGUACUUUUACCGCAUGCCCGCUUUCACCCUGGAGCUCCCUGGAGUGCAUGCGUACUCUCUCUCUGAUGUGGCCUGUGAACAUUCCCUUAACUUGCAGCACCUACUUUUGUUAUGAGGCAGAGGUGCCUGAGAGCUUCUUCUGGUCUGUUUGUGAGACAGCUCUUUGAAAUCAGCAAGAACGUUUCUUGUCCCCUGUCCCCAGUCUGGGUUUCUGCUCAGAAGUUAUCUGUUCCUGCUGGAUGUUGGAAUGGUAGUUUGUGUAGACCACCCAGAAAAUGUUUGUCUCAUCAGGGAUUUGGGUGGAAGAUAAAAAUGUGAAAAGAGUAAAUAUUUUAGAGAACGUAAACCAGUCUGUUUCUUCUAGCACCGCUCUAUGAUUCAUCAGGCUAAUCAUUUAAAUAUUAUCCCAAAUGCUUGAUCAAAAUUGAGUAUGACAGUUUUCAAUAUGGAGCUCUUUCUUUCACAUUUUAUGAGUGAAUCUGGUUUUCUGACUCAGAUAAACAAAAGGUUGCUGACUUAUGCAAAGGUUUCAUAUAGCUCAGGAAGACUUGCUGGGUAAUGAAAUUCAAGACUGAGACAGAAGGCAAAGCUGGGAUGGAUGGAGAUAGCCUGUACUACAUGAUGUAUAAAUUAGACUGUCCAUGCCCAGGUUCACUCAUUUAGGUCAAGGAGGACAGGUAUCCACAUAUGUGUAUUACUCUUUAUUUUUAUAUAUUCUGCAUUAUCCAGCUCUCUUAUGGUUUCAUAUGCAUUAAUUAUGCUUGUAAAGAGGUUACAACUUUUUUCUGUCACUCCGAAGUACCUGUUAGAAAACCGAUCACACAGUAUUCAAAUAUUUGGUUAGUUGGCUAGUUUUAAUUUGGGGGACUAAGCAUCCAUGAAAAGGUAAAUAUUGAAUAUAUUGACUCAUUCAUUUGCACAAAUAAAUAUCAUCCUGUCCCAGGUACUGUACUAGAUGCUUAGAUGCUGUGAUGAUCAAACAGUCAAGGUCUUGGCUCCUGUAGGGUACACCAUCCAGGAGGCGUAGGGGGAGGAUCAGAACAGAGAUGGCACAGCUAAGGAUAAAAUAAGAAGUACAGAAAGCUAUAAAAUGGCUCUCAUAAAUAGCAGAGAAACCUAAAUUAGCUGGAGUGAUUAUUGAAGUCCUUGCUGGAAAAAUAACAUUGAAACCAGUAGUUCCCCAACUUUGGUGCCCAAUGGAACCAUCUAGGGAAUCUUUAAAAAACACUGCUUUUUAAAACUGGAGCUCCCACCUCCAGUUAUUAUUAUUUGUAUAGGCUGUGACCUGGUCAGUAGGAUUUUUGAAAGCUGUCUGGGUGAUGCUAAUAUGUAUCAGAGUUUGAGAGCCAGUGAUUUAGGCCGAGACCUGAAGAACGAGUCAGAAUUGAUCAGGUGAAGAAUGUUGAGGGAAUAUAGUCUUCUUGAGUUUGAAAGGGCUGUAUACCCAAGGGACUGAAAGAAGGCUUGUUUGUUGGAUCAGGGUGAAAAGCAAGGCUGUUGACUACUGACCUAAACCAGUUUGGUCAUGAACAACACUUAGAUUGAUUUUAUCAGUUAGCAAUGAAUAACUUUAAAUAUUAUAGGUACUCUUAUCACCUGGCUACUAGACUAUAAAAAAUGUAAAUUCCAAACAGAAUUCCUUUUUUUUUUUUAUUAUUAUACUUUAAGUUCUGGGGUACAUGUGAAGAUCAUGCAGGUUUGUUACAUAGGUAUACACAUGCCAUUGUGGUGGUUUGCUGCAUCCAUUGCCCUGUCAUUUACAUUAGGUAUUUCUCCUAAUGCUAUCCCUCCCCAAUCUCCCCGCCCGCUGCUAUUCCUCCCCAGCCCCCCACCCCUGCAGGCCCCAGUGUGUGAUAUUCCCAUCCCUGUGUCCCUGUGUUCUCAUUGUUCAAUACCCACUUAUGAGUGAGAACAUGUGAUGUUUGGUUUUCUGUUCUUGUGUCAGUUUGCUAAGAAUGAUGGUUUCCAGUUUCAUCCACGUUCCUGCAAAGGACAUGAACUCAUCCUUUUUUAUGGCUUCAUAGUAUUCCAUGGUAUAUAUGGGCCACAUUUUCUUUAUCCAGUCUAUCAUUGAUGGGAAUUUGGGUUGGUUCCGGGUCUUUGCUAUUGUAAACAGUGCUGCAAUAAACAUACAUAUGCAUGUGUCUUUAUAAUAGAAUGAUUUAUAAUCCUUUGGGUAUAUACCCAGUAAUGAGAUUGCUGGGUUAAAUGGUAUUUCUGUUUCUAGAUCCUCAAUGAAUCACCACACUGUCUUUCACAAUGGUUGAAUUAAUUUACACUCCCACCAACAGUGUAAAAGCAUUCCCUUUUCUCCACUUUCUCUCCAGCAUCUGUUGUCUCCUGAUCUUUUAAUGAUCGCCAUUCUAACUGGCAUGAGAUGGUAUCUCAAUGUGGUUUUGAUUUGCAUUUCUCUAAUGAUCAGCAAUAAUGAGCUUUUUUUCAUGUUUGUUGGCUACAUAAAUGUCUUCUUUUGAAAAGUGUCUCAAACAGAAUUCCACCACAUACUCAUUUAAUAAGCAGCCUUUAGCAAAGCAGGCACAAAGCAGUUCACACACUGUGUUACUUAAGCCUCACAAAGUCUCAGCUCUCUGUGCAUCCAGGUAAGCUGGCCUUGCCUUAUAGGAAAGGUUUAUUAAGGCAAAAACAACAGCAUUUAUCAGGCAUGAUUCUAGGCCUUCUAGUUGGCAUCGUAAAUCAGAAAUUUUCCCAAACCAAUGCUGGCCACAUAUCCAACUAUGUGUUAAGCCACAGGCACCAUUUCUCUAAGAGGUACAGGAUUCUAGCCUAAGGGAUACAUGAAAACAGGCCUGGCUGGAUUCUUACUUGUUUCUACAGUGGUGGGCGUAUGUCUAACAUAUUUCUACCCAUGCACAUACUUUGAAUAUCUUAAACAUCACCUAAUGAAAUUUCAUCGUUACAUCUAUCAUGCUAAUUAACAAUACACUACUUUCACCAAUGAAAACCUAAUGUUGAUUUUUAUUGGCUACUGGCAAAGUUUCUGCUCUUGACUGAUAUACAGAUGAUAAAAGGGCUUGUAGUCACUGCCUCUGGAGUGUGUCUCUUUCCGAUUGAAUGUUACCUUGCCACCCUAGUCUUGCCUCCUUUAUAGUACAUUGCCUUGAUGAACCCUGAACAUGAAAGUAUAAACAAACUGGUAUAUGCACAAUAUCACCCUGAUUACGCUGGAGUAAUUUAAAGUAAUUUACAGACUGUAACAGAAGAGUAAUGGCCACCUCAGAGCCUGGAAAGAUUGAAAAGGAGGCAAGGAUAAAAUUCUUCUUGGAUGAGAAAGCUGACGCUAAUUGACUUUCUUCUUGCCUAUUUAUAGAAUACAAAUGCUUAUAGAGAGCAAAGAAAUAAAGGAGGAAAUGGAGAGCUGCUUGAAUGUUCACUUUUAUAAACCAGCAAAUGCUUCAUUGUCUAGCUCUGUGAAUGGCUUGAAUUGCCACUUUAAAGCAUUGCUUCUUCCGUAUCUCACACAAUGUAUCGAUCCCCAAUUUUCCCUAUUUCUCAAUAUCUGGAGCUUUAAAUAUUCGUCAGAAAACUCUUGAUACAAUUAUUAAAUUAUGUUGUUAUCGUCCUGGGUCACUGUGUAUCCGGUUGAGAGAAUUCCUUCGGGGACCCUUUGGUGCUUUUUUCAGUAAUGAGGUUACAUUUUUGAUCAAGAGAAAAAUCAAGGUGAGGACUUGAGUACUGCGGGAGUCACAGCCCUAACCUCUAGCAGACUGUGAGAGAUACUUUCCCACAGCCAGUUCAAAAGACAAGGCAGGGAUUUUGAAAUCUGUGUUUGACAUCUUUUUGACACGACUAGAUUACAUAGAUUCAGCUGCUGGCUACGCCUUUAUGCCAUUCUCAAUAGCAGAGAUAUUUAUGAAGCCUUCUCCAUUUCCAGCUACUCUUUUGCUUUUGUUGCUGGAGGAUUAGUUUGCCUUCAUAGCAGAUCAUUUUUAGGGUUGCUUUUCAUGAGUCAGCAUUUUCUAUGCUCUUUUAUGUUACAGAUGGAGCCUGUGAUCCUGGUCUGUAUUUGUGUUGUCAAUAGAAAUAUAGGUUGUUGGGAGGCCAAGGCGGGUGGAUCACGAGGUCAAGAGAUCGAGACCAUCCUGGUCAACAUGGUGAAACCCCGUCUCUACUAAAAAUACAAAAGAUUAGCUGGGCAUGGUGGCACGUGCCUGUAAUCCCAGCUACUCAGGAGGCUGAGGCAGGAGAAUUGCCUGAGCCCAGGAGGCGGAGGUUGUGGUGAGCAGAGAUCGCACCAUUGCAUUCCACCCUGGGUAACGAGCGAAACUUAGUCUCAAAAAAAAACAAAAAAAGAAAUAUAGUUUGAACUACAUAUGCCAUUUUAAAUUUUCUUGGAGCUAAAUUUCUACAUUUAAAAAAGCAAAAAGGGCUAGGCACAGUGGCUCAUGACUAUAAUCCUACCACUGUGUGAGGCCAGGACUCGAGGAUCACUUCAGGCCAGAAGUUAAAGACCAGCCUGACCCACAUAGCAAGAUUUCUGUCUCCACAAAAAAAUUGCAGAAAUAUUAGCCAGGCAUGGUGGCGCAUGCCGAUAGUGCCAGCUACUCAGUAGGCUUAGGUGGGAGGAUUGCCUGGGUCCAGGAGUUCAGGGCUACAGGGAGCCAUGACUGUGCCACUGCACUCCAGCCUGGGUGACAGAGCAAGAACGCACCUCAAAAAAUAAUAAUAAAAUAAACAUUUAAUUAAUGAAAAUAAAAAAGCAAAAGAGAUAUGAAAUUAACUUUAAUAAUAUAUUUUAUAGAAAUCAAUGUAUCAAAAAUAUUGUUCUUCUAACAUGCAAUCAGUGCAAAAAUUAUUAUGAGGUAUUUUACCUUCUUGUUUUCAUAUAAAGUCUUUGUAGUUGGUGUGUCUUUUAUACUUCUCCAACACAUUUUGAGUUGUAAUAGCCACAUUUCCAUUCCUCAAUAGCCACAUGUGGUUAGUGGCUACUAUAUUGGACAGUACACAUCUGUUUAAGAGUACUAAGAAAUGUGUUAUCUAAAUAACCCAUUGUUCAUUCUGUAAAGCAUAUUCCUGGAUCAUUCCCUAUCUUCCUAGUGGUUUUUGUGACCAAGGCACCUACUGUUGAGAUGACAGGCUUAGGACAUUACUGGAGGACAGCUAAUUGGCUUUUUGAAAUUCAAACAUGUGAAAGUCUUUAGUUCCAUGCUCUAGCCAUGUUGGUUAAUUGUUGACAGUGUUAUAAAAAUGAUAGAAAUAGACUGAUUGCUGAUAGUAGUAGAGCACUGGUAAGUCAGGAAAGGUGUGAGAAUGAGUAAGCAGUAGAACUCAUGGUACUUUUGUGAAACCUAAAUUUUAAAAACUCAGAAGAAAAAGGCUGAGCAUGUGUAUCUCCAGAAAGCUCAUGAAUACUCAUGCUGCUUAUUUUUCUGCUUCAGCACCAGCCUAGUAAUGACUACUGGAAAGAACAGGACACAAAUGAUAGAAGAUGCCCCCUUCCCCACUCCUUAUUGAAUCUGACAGCAUGAGACAGUGAGGUCGUCAUCUCCCACUGUUGAUUCCAAGUCUCCCUCAUCUGUAUCAUCAUGAAGCUGAGGAAUUUCCCCUCUUAAGUGGAAACAGUAAACUCUCAGUUUUGUUUUGUUUUUUUGUUUUUUGAGACAAGGAGUUUCGCUCUUGUUACCCAGGCUGGAGUGCAAUGGCGCAAUCUCGGCUCACCACAACCUCUGCCUCCUGGGUUCAGGCAAUUCUCCUGCCUCAGCCUCCCGAGUAGCUAGGACUACAGGCGCUCACCACCAUGCCCAGCUAAUUUUUUUUUUUUUGUAUUUUUAGUAGAGACGGGGUUUCACCACGUUGACCAGGAUGGUCUCAAUCUCUUGACCUCGUGAUCCACCCACCUCGGCCUCCCAAAGUGCUGGGAUUACAAGCAUGAGCCACCGCGCCCGGUGAACUCUCAGUUUUAAAGGAGAGAGACAGAGAGGGAGGAACAAACUGUUCUUGUUUUUCUUCCUGCCUAGCCCUUACUUUCAUUGUUAUGUAAGAGGUUCAUGCCAAUGAUUUUGGUGCCUGUGUGUGCAUUUCUAAAAAUUAAAAAAGACGUUGUAAAAUCACCACCCAAAGUCCACGUCACAGGAUUUCAGGGGUUCUGUAACUGUUACACUUAGACCACUGAGUGUGUCUACUGUGGGUAUUCGUAGUUAUGCUCGACAUAAUCAUGAGACUGCAAUUUGAUGUCACAUAAGCUCUAUAAAGGAAUAACUUGAAUUUCUAUAUGUUAAUAUAGGAUGGCUUGCUGUAUGGUUUUAAUUAUCAUUUUCUCUAAUACUUUGUUUAUUUCUUUGGUGAUUCAGCUUAAACAUAGUCGAAACUGGUACUUAGUAAUGAAAAGGAAUGGAAACGGUUUAGAAUAGACACAGUAGUUGAUACUAACAGGCAUUUUGGUGCUGGGAAGAUAUAGGAGGAUAUUACUAAUAUUUAUCAUUCUUACAAUAGUCUGAAACGUCUGAAAGCCAUUCCCUCUAACACAGCACUGUCCACAGCACUGUCUGCAAAUGAUGAAAAUGUCUCCUGUCUGUGUUAACUAGUAAGGAAGCCAACGGCCACAUGUGGUAUUGGACAUGAAAAAUGUGACUUGUAUGCCUCUGAAACCAAAACCUGAUUAUUUUCUAAGGAUUUACAUUUCUGUUGAACUCACAUCAAUGUUUUUUCCAAGUUAGUAUCGACAACAAAUACCAGUGUGAAGUGAAAGUGUGCUGAGGCGCACAUUACUGCCACCCUUCAUUUUAAAUUUGGCUAUUAAUAAUUUUCACCUUAUUUAGGCCUGGGUUUUUGGCCUAAGUAAGGUUUUAUGAAUUUUCUUACUUAACUGUGGUAGUCGAAGUUUUCUGAUCUUGGAGCCGCUUCAGCUUUUUUGAGGUGCCGAUGAGGACAGAACUUAUCUUGCCUCAAAUGUAAGAGGCAAUAUUAGUCAGAACAUUUUGGUUUCUCAGUGAAUUUCUUUGCUUUCUACAGCUUGAUCUUUAGAGAACACUAUCCUUUCAAUCCCCAUGCUUCUCCCACUUUUGCAAACAAGAGUUCACAAUUCUUGUCCUGAUUUGCCAAUUUUGUUACCCUAAAUUUCCAAUUAAGAUAUACCUACAUAAGUGUUGUGAUAGGAGUUUAGAAAGAACUUGUUCAACUCUUGCUUCCCAGUUUUUCUCUUUCCUAAUUAUCAUUUUUCUUCUCUAAUAAAUGCUAAUUAAACUACUUUUCUUGCUGGUUUAGAGCCUUCUGUUUUAAUAUUCUUCUGUCUAGAGGCUAAGUUUAGUUUUUCCUCUGAAUUCUUCAGACCAUUUUAAACAGGAAUGAACAUGUAAAACCACUUUAGACUGAGGUUUCUUAUUUUCUCAACAAGAUAGCUUCAAUUACUAUAGAUAUGUGUUCAUAUAUUUUAAUAGAAGUCACAGAAAAAACCAGAUUGACCCUAUGCUCUUUUGACCUACAAACAUAUAUGUUGAAACUUUGAAAGCCCCUUUUCUGGUGUCUGAAUAACCACAGGGUUUUUAAAACUUGAAUUCCUGCAUGAAUCAUUGGCUCUAGGAAAGACUUGGAGUUGUAGGGUAGGCUGGUCACACUUAUGUCAAAGGAUUAUAAAAUGUACUCUGCUGUUCUAGAGCAGCAAUCCCCAAAGCAAUCCCCAACUUUCUGGCACUAGGGACCUGUUUUGUGGAAGACAAUUUUUCCAUGGACAGGGAGGCAUAGUGGGGGAUGGUUUUGGGAUGAAACUGUUCCACUUCAGAUCCUUAGGCAUUAGUUUGAUUCUUAUAAGGAAUGCACAGCCUAGAUCCAUUGCAUGCACAGUUCACAAUAAGGUUUAUGCUCCUAUGAGAAUCUGAUGCCACUGUUGAUCUGACAGGAGGCAGAGCUCAGGCAGUAAUGCUCACUUGCCCACUGCUCACCUCUUGCUCUGCGGCCCAGUUCCUAACAGGCCAGGGACUGGUAGUGGUCUGUAGCCCAGGGAAUGGGGAACCCCUGUUUUAGAGGCUGGUGGCACUUGGUUAAAUCCAAUAAAUUUACAAUAUCCAAGAAGACAGACUAGUGCUACCGAAGCUUUCCAGUUGCAGAGUCACCUCAAAUUUGGGCUAGUGAAGACUGAAGCCGCUUCCGUUGCUCUGCCCUUUGCAGAAAGGCUGUAUUCCUUAGGCAGUUGAGAAAUACACGUUUUGGGAAAUACAUCUUUCUUACUAUUUGGUAAAUUAAAGAAUGAGCCUCACAGGCCAGGUCCGGAGAACUCAGUGCUAGAAUGUUUAAUAACUUUGUCCUUCAAAGAGCUCAAAGAAAUUGACUGUUCUUUCUUAAAUCUUCAUAUAACAUCCAUGAAGUUCCUUAGGAGAUUUUAUAAUUUUAUUUUUUUGUUGCAUUGAGCCUGUUCAGAAACUCAGUAGGAAAAUGGGUUCAGGAGAAGCAGCCCUGGUUGAAAUGGGGUUUGCCUCCGAAGUCCUUCCUUCUUCUCUUUCCUUGAUGAUGUUGUGUCCGUAUGUCCUUGGGGGAGUGCCCGUGGAAUACACCCUGAAGACUGGCCAAAAGCAUCACUAAAGAUGUGUGAUGAACAAAAGUUUGGUUGAGAUGCUGCCUCCACCCCAAAACAGUUUAUGUCAUUCUAAUGCUGCUCAGCAGAGUUACUGCGUUUGUCUCUCUCUACACAAACAAACGCACGUGCGCGCGCACACACAAACACACACACACUCUCACUCUGAGUUUCCUAGAUCCCAAAAUAAUUCAUUAGUUAAGGCUCUAAAUACAUGGUAAUUUCAGAAUAGAUUGGGCCUUUCUGAGUUACACCCCUCCCCAAUGAAAGGGAGACAAUGGAAAUUAUUCUACUCACCAGGAGCUCCUGGAAAUAGAGUUUAUGUGGAAAUACAAACAUCACAGUAACGGUCUGUGCAUUGAGAGAGGAGAAACUCAACAGAUGUAGAAACGAAAAGAGGAGAACAAGUGGCCAAAUCCGGAGGUGCCAGAGGAAAGAGGGAUAUAUGACCUCACUUUACCUUCGUCAUGGAUGACUUACAAGGAUUAAUUAAGUAAAAGUCGGUAAAUGUCUUGAAGCUCUUUGGAGAAAGAAGCUAUUUAAAUAUAAAUUACGAUCAUGCAGCUUACAUCUCACAUGUCAGGCAUGCAUGGUUAACUGUGUCUGAUGUGUAAGUUACGCUUCCUCCGGGUUACAGCCAUGAGGAUCCCGGAUCCACCUCCCUUCUUUGACACAGUGGUAAGACAGAGAUUGAUGGUGUUAUAUGUGGCAUCCGAGUCCAGGGCAUCUGAGCUGUGAUGUUGUGCUUGGAGAAACCAGAGCCUCUAUCUGAGCCUCUUCUUGGGCAUUUUCUUAAGACAUUUGAGGAUGGAGUGGGAAACAGAAGUUAGUAAACUGAGAAAAUCUUUUUUUUUUCAAUUUACUUUAUUAACGUAUUGCCUAAGAGGGUAAAACAAAUUAAAUGAGAGAAGAAUAUAUUUUUAACCAGAUGUUUUAGUUUCCUAGGGCUGCUAUGAAAAAGGACCACCAAGCAUGAGACUUAAAACAACAGAAAUAUAUUCUCUCACAGUUCUGAAGGGCAGAAGUCUAAAAUAAAGGUGUUGGCCUCUUCUAGCUUCUGGUUGCCCUAGGCAUUCCUUGACUUAUGGCAGCCUUCACUGUGACUCCAAACUCUGCGUGUGUGUACGUGCGCGUGUGUAUGUAUGUGUAGGUGUAUGUGUGUGUAUGUAUAUGUGUGUAUGUGUGUGUAUAUGUGUGUAUGUGUGUAUGUAUAUGUGUAUGUGUGUAUGUGUGCGUAUGUGUGUGUAUGUGUAUAUGUGUGUAUGUAUGUGUGUAUGUAUGUGUGUAUAUGUGUGUAUGUAUGUGUAUGUGUGUGUAUAUGUGUGUGUGUGUGUCUUCACCUGCCUGUCUUCCUGUCUUCUUUUUUUUUCCCUUUCCCUUUCCCUUUGCCUUUCCUUCCUUCUUCCUUCCUUCCUUCUCUCUUCUCUUCUCCUUCCUUCCUUCCCUCCCUCCCUCCCUCCCUCCCUCUCUCCCUUCCUUCCCUCCCUCCCUCCCUCCCUCCCUUCCUUCCUUCCUUCCUUCCUUCCUUCCUUCCUUCCUUCCUUCCUUCCUUCAUUCCUUCCUUCUCUUUCUCAUUCUGUCACCCCAGGCUAAAGUACAGUGGCACAAUCACAGUUUGUUGCAGCUGUGACUUAUUUGGCUCAAGUGAUCUUCCCACCUCAGCCUCCCAAAUAGCUGGGACCACAGGUGCACACCACCACAUUUGGCUAAUUUUUGUAUUUUUUUGUAGAGAUGGUGUCUUGCUAUGUUUCCCAGACCAGUCUUUAACUCCUGGGCUCAAACAAUCCUCCUGCCUUGGCCUCCUUAAAGUGCUGGGAUUACAGGCAUGAGCCACAGCACCCGGCCUGGCUGUCUUCUUAUAAGGACACCAGUCAUAUUAGAGUAAGGACCUAGCCUUCUCCAGUGUGAUUUCAUCUUAUCUAAUGACAUCUGCAACAACCUCAUUUCCAAAUAAGUUGCCAUUCUGAGGUACCGGGGAUUAGGACCUUAAUAUACCUCUUUUUUGGAGAUAGGAGGAUGCAGUUUAGCCCAUAACACCAGGUUAGGAUAGUUUUCAAAAUUAUGGAGGAGCCGAACCUUGCCCUUAUGUAAAAUAUCGGGUGCAGUCCCAUCAGAAAGCAGGUAGAGCAGCCCUGCCCUGCUGGGAGCAGCAGUGGAGGGCAGCCCCUGUGCUCUGCACCCCUGCCAGCUCACCUUGUUCCAUCCCACCUGGGAACAUGUUCUUUAGAUGCCACAGAGACACCCACACACCCCACAGGGCUUCAAGGGUCACAGCAGAAAAAGCUGCAAAACUAGAUGUUCCAUUGGCUUCCUUAAUCAAAUAACACCCUAUGCCUUUAUAACAGGCAGCUUUAAGGAAUGCAAACUCUGAAAAUAGUCUGUUUAUAAGGCUUGUUGGAGAGCAAUUGCAUUUCCUCUGUUUGUUGGUUUUAACAUAAAGGAAAUAGAAUCUACUGAAAGCAGACUUUUUCCAGUGUCACCUUAGCACUGCCACCAGCACCCAUUCAGAUUUGGGUGCUACAACAGACUGAGGGCUGAUUUUUCCCCUCUAUAUGUUCACGUCCAUGGAGAAUGGUAGCAUACACCUCACCCUCUAGCAUCUAACUCCCUCCUUUCAUAAAGAUUGGGAAAGUGGGAAAUUCAUUCUUGGAAAGACUGAAACAGAGGGAGUCACAGCCAGUCCUGCUUAGCAGCACAAGUUCCACCCACAAAACCAAUUGACUCCACAGCAGAAACCCUGACUGAGGUCCACGCCGCCUCCCGCCCGGAGUGAUGGAACUCUUGGGAACAGUUGCCCAGGCUCCUGGGAGGAAUGCCGACUUGCUUAUCAGUCUCUGUGAGGCUGUGAUCUCCCUGGCAAGGAGAAUUAUAUUCUUUAGAUAACUAGAUCCAAGAAGAGGAGGCUCUGGGAAAGAGUACACAAAGCUGCCCAGGGGGAAAAGUCCUGAUGAUAACUCCACAAAAGGCAGCUUUAAAUGGUCUCAGCUGAUCCAUAUUUUUAGAAAAUUGUUUUUACUCUGCCUGCCUGACUGUAAUACUAUUGACAGAAACAGCAAUGAAAGUGAGAUAAACAUGAUGUUGUGAUCUUUCUUUUUAUGCCUCCCAUGAAGCCCUGGGUAGUAUAAUUUGUGCUUGACAACCUUUGAUUAGCAGCUGCUCAUUCUGCUGAGGAAAGGAGGCGUUUAUCUGAGACACUGUUCUCCCUUCAUAAAUAAGCUAGAAAUUUGCCACUGGUAAUAGUUUCCCAGAGGAAGCCAGGUCUGACCCUCCUCUUUCACACCUCUGGACACUUCUGUUUGCAGCCCUGUGGGAAGGGGCAGUGGGGAGUCCAUGGGGCCAAUUGGGGAAGUCUGUGUCUCACUCUUAGGGCAGCGCUGGGUGACCCCAGAACUUUUUGAAUGUGAUAUGGUCUGUGCCAGGCAGAUCAAGUACUUUCUUCUUUUCUCUGUGACAGUGUGGUGCUGCAGAGAACGCUUUGGACUGAGCAACAAAAGAUUUCAUUCCAUUUCUGAUUCUUUUACUCACUGUGACUUUGAGCAUGCCAUCUAAUCUCUUUGAUCUGCAGCCUAGAUUCAUUCUUCUCAAACCAAGCUAUCCAUGUACUUAAAGAGAAAUGGCUCCAGAUACGUGAAGCCACAGGAUAAACCCAAAAUAUCUUCUAAGAGCAUCAAUUUUACUCCAUCGUUCUGAAGAAAGCAUUUUUAUGUGAGAAACAAGGCUACCCAUGGAGUAGAAUGGAGAACUUCACAAUAAUUUUUCAGUAGGUUCAAGGAAAACCUGCUUCAGAGAAGUGAUAACUAAAGUAUGAGUUCACCGCUCUCUGUUUUUAGGAAUAUUGUCAUGUCAGAAAGUUUGAGAAGCACUAGAUUAGGUCAUCUUGAGGCUGCCUUUCUACUCUUAUAUUUGGGGAUUCAACAAUAAACCUGUUUUGGGCUGAACAUUGCCCCCUACAAGUUCAAACGUUGAAACCCUAACCCCCAGCACCUCAGAAUGUGACUAUGUGGAAAUAGGACCUUGAUGAAGUUAAAACAAGGCUGUUAAGGUGAGUCCUAAUCUAAUCUGACAGGUGUCUUCAUCGCAAGAGGAAAUUUGGUGCUAGGUGGAGUGGCUCACACUUGUAAACUCAAUAAUUUAGAAGGCUCAGUCAGGAGGAUCGCUUGAGGCCAGGAGUUUCAAAUCAGCCUGGGAAACAUAGGAAGAAAUAUGUUGAUAAAAUAUACCUUAAAACAGAUUGAAAAAAAAAAAACUAGCUGAGUGUGGUGGCAUAUGCUUGUAGUCCCAGCUAUUUGGGAGGCAGAGGCCAGAGGAUCACUUGAGCCCAGGAUUUCAAGGCUGCAGUGAGCCAGGAUCAGGCCACUCUACUCCAACCUGGGAGGCACAGAGAGACUCCAUCUCCAUAGAAUAAAAAAGAAAAGGAAAUUUGGACUUACAUUAGGGAUGCCUGCUUUACAGAGGAAAGACCAUGUGAUAAAUGGCUAUCUCAAAGCCGAGAAGAUCACAAGAAACCCAACCUGUGUACACCUUGAUCUAGGACUUCUAAGCCUCAAGAACAGGAAUAAAUAAAUGCAUACAUAAACGAAUGAAUGAAUGAAUGUUGUUUGGGCCACCCGGUCUGUGGUGUUUUGUGAUUGCAGACUUAGCAGACAACAGGAACGGGUUCCCUUUGCCUACUACAUAAAGGCCAACGUCCUUGGCCCAGAAUUAAUGACCUUCUGCAAGGGUCAUUGACCCCAUCCUCACCAUUUAGCCACCACUGCCCUCUACUCCCUUAAUUCCUAACCUGCUCUGUUUUCAUGUUGUGCCUGCCCAUCACCAGGCCUAUUCCCUUCACCUGAGAUGAUUACGUGUCUACUUCUCAAAACGCACUCAUCCCUAACCACCUCCUUCCCCUCAGGUCCAGCCUAAAAUGAACGGACUUAACUGGUAACUGCUGGUUUUGCUGCUAAAUGACACAAGGAUAGCCUUGACUUUGGGUUGUCUCUGCGUUACUCUUCUUCCUCUCAGAUGCCAGAGUGAAUAGACCACUUCUUCCGUGUUUUAAAAGUUCGUUUCCACAGCAAGACGUCCCAUGCUUGACAUAGAGUCAAGCCCACCAGCUCAGUGCAUGAAACAGAGAUCAAUCGAUAUUGUUUUCUCUGCCAAAUAUGUUUUUAAAUAUACAGUCAUUCCUUAUUGUCCUUGGGGGAUUGGUUCCAGGACCCUUCUUAGAUAUCAACACCUGCAGAUGCUCAAGUCCUUCAUAUAAAAUGUUACAGUAUUUGCAUAUGACCUAUGCACACUUCCUGUAUAGAUGAAAUCACCUCUAGAUUACUCGUAAUACCUAAUACAGUGUAAAUGCAAUGUAAUGGUUGUUACAGUGUAUUGUCUAGGGAAUAACAACAAGGAAAAGAAGUUUGUGUUCAAUGUGGAUGUAACUUUUUUUCCAAAUAUUUUUGAUCCAUUGCUGGUGAAUUCAUGGAUUCAGAACCCAUGGAUUCAGAGGGCUGAUUCUAUCUUAUAAAUAUAUUUUACACAUAUAUAUCUCUUAUAUAUAACUACAUUUUAAACAAUACCUUAAAAGAUAUAUCUCAUAUUUUGAUUCAUAUGUAUACAACUGGUGUUCACGUUUUUGUUUGUGGAAAAUUCAUACUGAGAUAAUUAAAAUAUCAGGCUAAAAAUGAGUAUUCCUGCUUCUACCCUCUGCUAGUUCUGCAAUGUGUAGUGCAGCAUUUGCCAACCCCCGGCUCUUUUUUUGAGAUGGAGUUUCGCUCUUGUUGCCUGGAGUGCAAUGGGGUGAUCUUGGCUCACUGCAACUUCUGUCUCCCAGGUUCAGCUGAUUCUCUGCCUCAGCCUCCCAAGUACCUGGGAUUAGAGGUGCCUGCCACCAUACCUGGCUAAUUUUGUAUUUUUAAUAGAGACAGAGUUUCACUAUCUUGGCCAAGCUGGUCUCGAACUCCUGACUUCAGGUGAUCCACCUGCCUUGGCCUCCCAAAGCGCUAGGAUUACAGGCAUGAGCCACCACACCCAGCCACUUUUACCAAUUUUGAAGUCUGUUUUUUGUUUUGUUUUGUUUUGUUUUACUGUGCUGGUUGGAUAAUCUAUUUGAAAAUAUAUAAGUCAUUGUGACUGCUUGUGGUAGUAUUUUAAUACUUUUUCCUUUGUAAAAUACUUUAUAAUCAUAUUUCAAGGUAUGUUUUUAUAUCUUUUAAUAUUUGGAAAAAACGCUAAAGACAGAUGUGGUGAUUUAAAUCGAGUCAAAGUGGAAAAAAAGUAUUGAACUGACUGGAAACAAAAUUCUCAAGCACUUUCAAAGCUUGCUUGGGACUGAUCAGUACAUCGCAGAUGGAAAAGUCAAAAGUUUCAGUUCUCCUUGACAUUUCAAGAGAGAAAGAAAACAGGAAAAUCAUGAUAUCUGUCUUGAAAGAAAUUGCUUUCAAACUGCUCUCUGUCAGCUAUUCCAGAUGGCUUUGCUGUUUCUUAGCAGAAGUGAAGGUAUUUUUAAAAGACCUGAGGAAAAUAGAUGAGGUUCUUCUUUCCUGAUGUCCCAGAAGGAGGAUGAAGGGAAAACUAUUUUUAAGGAAUUGUUUCUUUUGAGUGAGUUGGCCACCUGUACCACCGUACUGAUGGUGCAUAUCAGCAAUCUCAUGAUACAUUCAUAUCCUCUCACUUUUAGUGAUGAAAAAGUUGCUAUAUGAGUAUAAAUAGUGAAAACAGUAUGUAUCCUAAGCUGAAAAGUUGGCAGAAGUUAGUAAAUGCCUGUUAUAAAUGGCUUAUAUAUUUAAAAUAUAUGGUAUAUAAUUUGUAUAUGUUACAUUCCUAACAAUAACAAAAUAAGCUACAUAUGUAAUUUGUAGAUCGAAAUUAUACAUGAGGUUGUAGAUGAUUAUACCUAAGGUUUGGUACACACAUACGUAUGUAUAUGUAUGUUUUAUAAAUCUUUACAUAAAUGCUUACAAUCCUUAAAACAGCUCUGUGAUAUGGAUUUUAUGCCUUCUUAUUGAUGAGGAAACACACUCAGAGGAAGGCAAGAAAGUUGCCCAUGAUCACAAAGCCAGAGGGGAACACAGCCAUACUUCUGAGGCCAUCCUUUCAUUACCAUACAACACUGCAGUAGUGUUUGUGAAAUUCUUAGGGUGUUUGGUUCACUGUGGCAUCACAGUCAGUAGUAAAGACCUGGAUUCAGGCCAGACAUGGUGGCUCAUGACUGUAAUUCGAGCACUUUGGGAAGCCGAGGCAAGCAGAUCACGAGGUAAGGAGUUCGAGACCAGCCUGGUCAACGUGGUGAAACCGCAUCUCUACUAAAAAUACAAAAAUUAGCCCAGUGCAGUGGUGCACAUCUGUAGUCCCAGCUACUUGGGAGGCUGAGGCAGAAAAAUCUCUUGACACUGGGAGGUGGAGUUUGCAAUGAGCUGAAGUCGGGCUGCCACUGCACUCCAGCCUAGACGACAGAACAAGACUCAGUCUGAAGAAAAAAAAAAAAGACCUGGAUUCAAGUCUGUCCUGUAGUGUGUCAAAACAAAAAUCCAUGCAAUUGCAUGCUUUAAUUUUCCUGUUUGCAAGCUAGGAAUAAGUAGUAUUUGCCAUCAGAAUAUCUAGGACUUAAAGAAAUGUGCUAUAUUAAGGCAUGAUAUACUUAUUUUCAUUAGGACUUGGGCUUUUCACUUGAAACUUUCUGCAUUACUGUUUUUGGAUUGGAUUUUUAAAGUUUUUAUUUGUAUGCAUUUAGGAGUACACAGUGUGUCCCACGGAUGUGUGUGUAGCGGGGAAGUCCCAGCUUUUAGUGUCCCCAUCACCUGAAUACUGCACAUUGUACCUGACAGGUGACAUUUCAUCUCUCACUUGCUUCUCACUCUGUAUUACAUUUUGAAAGUUUGUCCUGGCCAGGCACAGUGGCUCACACCUGUAAUCCCAACACUUUGGGAGGCUGAGGCAGGUGGAUCACAAGGUCAGGGGUUUGAGACCAGUCUGGCCAACAUAGUGAAACCCCGUCCUAAUAAAAAUACAAAAAAUUAGCCAGGUGUGGUGGUGUGCACCUGGUAAUCCCAGCUUCUAGGGAGGCCAAGGAAGGAGAAUCGCAUGAACCCAGGAGGCAGAGGUUGCAGUGAGCUGAGAUCACACCAUUGCACUCCAACCUGGGCAACAGUGCAAGACUCGGUCUCAAAAAAAAAAAUGGUUUGUUUUCUUUGUCCUUUAUUUUUAGAGACAGCAUCUCAUUCUGUCUCCCAGGACGGAGUGCAGUGGUGCAGUCAUAGCUCACUGCAGCCUUGAACCCCUGGGCUUAAGCAAUUCUCCUGCCUCAGCCUCCUGAGUAGUUGGGACUACAGGCAUGUACCACCAUGCAUGGCUAAUGUUUUUCUUUUUUAAGAGAAGGAGUCUUGCUGUGUUGCCCAGGCUGGUACUGUUUCUAUUUAUCUGUGUAAGAGGCUUCAGUUGGCUCACUGUGGGAGGACAUACUACACAGGGCCUAUCUCAAUUUGGAGAAAGUCUUUCUUUCUUCUCCAUGUCAUCACAUGCAGAUUUUACUAUCUUUUAAAAAUAUGUCUUACAUUCUACUCUGCUGUUGGUGUGGGGCUCCUGAUUUACUUAAGAACCUUAGAAAUAUCUAAGAAGAGGAAUUACUUCUUACCCAAACUAAUUUUUUAAAAGUUAAGUAGAAAUGAAUGAAGAUAGUUGGAAAUCUGUUGGUGCUUGGGCUCUUGUUGUGUUGGUUAAGGGCACUUGUGGAGAGAAAGGUUUAACUCUUCCUCCUAAAUACUGUUAUGUUAGAACUGAAAUGAGUUUCUGAAAUAGAACUUAUAGGAGAGAAGCUGAAGUGAAAGCCCCAGGGAACUCAUCACUCCUUUGGAGGAUUUCUCUACCUGAGUUCUGCACUGUCUUGGGUAAUUUUAUGAUAUUAGUAUAUAAAAACUAAGGAGCCAAGCCUGUGGUCUCAGUACUUUGGGAACCCGAGGCGGGUGGAUCACGGGGUCAACAGAUCGAGACCAUCCUGGUCAAUAUAGUGAAACCCCGUCUCUACUAAAAAUACAAAAAAAUUAGCUGGGCAUAGUGGCACAUGCCUGUAAUCCCAGCUACUCGGGAGGCUGAGGCAGGAGAAUUGCCUGAACCCAGGAGGCGGAGGUUGUGGUGAGCCGAAAUCGCGCCAUUGCACUCCAGCCGGGGUAACAAGAGCGAAACUCCAUCACACACACACACAAAAACUAAGGAGGGAGGUGGUUUUCCUCAGAUAGUUUGCCCUCUCUGUGUGUGCUUCUCCCGAGUGAUCUCCUAUAGCACAUCUUCCUUUCAUAUGCAAACAUACCAUGCCACCGUCUGUGGCACACUGGGUAAUUGGUGUGCAUCGCUCUGAUGCUCACACCAUCCCCAACAGUUGCAGGUGGCUUUGUUCACACUUGCCCCGAGAGAAACGCUGAGUUUCAAAACAAGUGGCCUGCCUAGGCCACACUCACCAGUGCAGAGGCUGGCUCCACACCAGUGGCUCUCUGGCUCCAAAGCUUCCAGCCCUUCCCCUACAGCACGCUCCCAGUUCAGGACCCCAUUUGAGUUAAAACCUGGCCAUGCUUCUUCUUUAUACUUUUUGGCCUUAGGUAAUGAUUAUAAGAUAAUAAAUUACUAUUUCUCAUGGCCAUAUGAGAAGGUGCAUUUCCUGGGUUCCUUCUUCUCAACCCACAAGCCCACUCUUCCUUUCUUCCCAGGGAGUUUGGUUACUCACACCCCACUAGUUCACUACUCAUCAGCCCCUCCCCUGAGGUCAUGGGAUCCAGUGUAGAAGCUGUGUAUGAAUUAGCAUGACAAACAAUGUAGUUCCACAUAUGAUCUGCACCGAAUUGGGGCAACUUGGUUCUACCGUUGUCUCCAUUCAAACAGGAUGCACCCCCUAACUCGGCUCCCGUUCUUGCAAGAGACAGUGUAUUUAUUUCAGGAGUCUCUUCUCCAGCUAACUCUGACUAUGCAUGGCUUGGCUUGGCUUGCAGUCCCAUCACAAAGUCCCUCAUAUUAGCUCACCCAGAAUCCCUGAGAGUAUUGAACAAUGAGUGCAUUCCAUAAAAAAGAUGUUAUUUCCCAAGCACAGAGUAAAUCACUCUACAAGCCUGCAGGAAGGAGACCGUGGACUGGGGCUCUAGCAGGAAUCACAGGUCUGUACAGAAGUCGGGGGAAAGCUUGGCGGUGGCCAGGGAUGCCAUUCGACUUCAUGAUGCCAAGGUGUGUUGCCUGUGAGACUUCAAAACCCAUGGCAUCAUCUGCCCUGCACUUCAGUGGAAGUUUUGGAAAUCUCUCCCACAGCCCUGCGCAUCCUGAUGUAAUGAUGGUGCGCUUUGUUUUCAUAAAGUCACGGUUAUAUAAACAAAAAUAAAGGUUCAAAGUGUCACCUCCGCUUCCUCAUAAUUUCAUAAGAGGGAAGCUGCUUCUACAUGCUCUGCCACUGUGCUGGGAUUUUGAAGGCAUUUUCUCCAAUGUUGUCAGUAACUCUGUGAAGAAGCAUUGGGAUAUCCAUGUUGAUGUGAUUUGAAUGCUUGUCCCUUCUAAAUCUCAUGGUGAAACAUAAUCCCCCAUCUUGGAGGUGGGGCUUGAUGGGAGGUGUUCGGGUCAUGGGGGAAUAUCCCUCGUGGAGUGCCUGCCCCGUGGUAAUCAGCUCUUGCUAGAGUUGGUGGUUUAAAGAGCUGGGCAGCUGUCUUGCUUCUCUCCUUCACCAGGGGAUACACUGGCUACCCCUUUGCCGUCCACUGUGAUUGGAAACUUCCUAAGUCCUCACCAGGAGCAAAUGCUAGUACCAUGCUUCUUGUACAACCUGCAGAACCAUAAGUCAAAAUAGCCUCUUUUCUUUGCAAAUUACCCAGCCUCAGUUAUUUCUUUAUAGCAAUACAAAUGGACUAACACACAUUUUUUGGAAGAAAGUUCUGAGGCUCAAGGUUACAAGACUUGCUUGGGCGGUACCUAGAAAGUGGCAUGCCUGAUAUCUGAAUACAGCACUUUCUGACUCCUAAGCCUUUCUUUCUGCCACUGGAAUAUUUACUUUUGUGAGUAAUCAGUUUGGGAACAUACAAUGACUGGAGUCUGGUUUGGCAUUAACGUUGCAUUUUUUUUUUUUCUUUUUUAAAGAUGGGGUUUCACCAUGAUGGCCAGGAUGGUCUUGAACUCCUGACCUCAGGUGAUCCACCCACCUUGGCCUCCCAAAGUGCUAGGAUUACAGGCGUGAGCCACCGCGCCCGGCCUAACGCUGCAUUUUCAAAGCAAGGGUAGAAUGCAUUCAGGGCUUGCCUUGCAGAUUUACUUCUGCACUUUUGCUUUUGUUUUUUCUGGUCAGGACUUUUCUGACAGAAUAUUGUCGGAGCCUCGCCCUGCUCCUGGAAGAUUGAAUGUUGAAGUGUGAUGAUUAGGUGCAUUCUUUUUUUUCUUAUUGAAGAAGGUCAGUGUCAGGAGUAAUUCCUUUUUUUGCACAAAAUGACAGUUCUUAUUAAGAGACAAUACGUCUACUGAAAAGUCUGAGCUGAGCAGCUUAUCUGUGCUGGGACUCUAUUUUGUCAUUCUGAGGUUUGUGAAAUGUCCUAAAAGGUUCUUACUGGAAUUACUGGGUCAGGUAGCUGAAGCAAACUGAUCCUACUUUAAGUUGUAGGAUGGUUGUUUGAGAAAUGUGAAAGGCUUAAAGGUGUCCAUUACUCCAGAUUUAUAUAAAAAUCACUUUCCAAGCUGAUGGAUCCCAAGAUGACUUCAGGAUACAGUCCUGUCUCAGUUACAACUUUGGGGAUCGAAUUUUGUAUCUGUGUCAUAGGUCUGCAUAAAUUCUUGGGCCAAAGAAAGAAGAGGAUGGAGUGUGAAUGAUGACAGGGAGCUGUAGGUACUGAUGCCUGAAACUUACUGUGACAAGCACCCUCCAUCCCUGAAAAAAAAAAGAUGGAUUUAUGGAUUAAUAGAGGAAUGGGAGAAUAGGUCAAUCCUAAUUUCAAAAACCUGUUAAUCGUAGAAACUAAAUGGUGGGUAUUUGGAUAUUCACUGUAAGGUUCUUCCAACUCUUCUGUAAGUUUUGAAAUUUUCCAUAAUACUAUGUAAGAAGGAAUAAAAAGAAAUGUAUUGGGCCGAGCGCAGUGGCUCACGUCUGUAAUCCCAGCACUUUGGGAGGCGGAGGCGGGUGGAUCACAAGAUCAAGAGAUCGAGACCAUCCUGGUCAACAUGGUGAAACCCCGUCUCUACUAAAAAUACAAAAAAUUAGCCUGGCUGCCUGUAAUCCCAGCUACUCAGGAGGCUGAGGCAGGAGAAUUGCCUGAACCCAGGAGGCGGAGGUUGUGGUGAGCCGAGAUCGCGCCAUUGCACUCCAGCCUGGGUAACAAGAGCGAAACUCUGUCUCAAAAAAAAAAAAAAGAAAGAAAGAAAUGUAUUAACUCUUAGUCGUAGAGAUGUGGUUAGUUCCAGCCAAUGUAUUUGUUGUGAAGAUGUGAGCAAGUGAUACAGCAGAAACUUCUGCUCCUGAUUAGGUAGUGUUGGGUUUAUUUGUUUGUUUUAAACUGGUGAACACCCGUAGGUGCUAAUGAAGAAUCUGAAAGUGGCAGGUAUAAUAGAAUGAAACAUUUGCUAUUCUGGAACAGUGGUAAUAUCUUUGUUAAUAUUGACACGAACAACUAUAAUCUGCUGCCCCUGUUAGAUGUGAAGCCCUAGACCUGUGACUUUUAUCACGUCAUUAAUUUAUUUCUAAUAACAGCGCUAGAGAUUCAGGUCCCAUGCUAAAUGUCCAGGAACCAUUAGCUCUACUUUACACAGAGGAAAGACUGAGCUCAGAGAGGUCAAAGGCAUGCUCCUCAGGGUCACAGGUCUAGUUAAGGCUGGUGUCAGAAUUCAGGCCUGACAUGAUGGACAUCAAAGUCUAUGCAAUUUCCACUCGACCCUCGAGGAUCAAUGUGUGGUUCUGGACAGCAACCUCAGCCUCAUGAGGAGCUGCUUGGAAAUGCGGGACAUCAGGCCUCAUCCCAAAACUACAGAACCAGAACGUGCAUUUUAACAAAACCCCUGGCUGUCUCUGUGCACAUCAGUCUGAGCAGUGCUACACUGGACCGUGGUCCUCUGGAAAUUUGGGACCGUGUCUUUAUUUUUCUCUCCAUGUAAUGCAGGACACCAUAGGGUCUGUGAAAACCGCAUUUAUUUUGUUCCAGAGGGGAAGCUGCAGUACUGAGCCUUAUUAGCUUCCUUUCCAGCAGUAUCAGAGUGAAGGCAGUGAAUCAAAGCCCCUAUUCCCAUCACAGGACUCAGACGCCUGAGUCUGUCCCAGCCUGCCUCUGGUCAUCCGUGUGAUGCUGUACUUAGAGCUCCCCAUCAGUGUGUGACUCUGUUUCUUCAACUACCAACUGGGUGAAUCAAUUCUGGCUCCACCUGCCUCACAAAAAGGCCCAAGGUGCCUUUAAAAGACAAGAAACAGCUGGGCAUGGUGGCACAUGACUAUAGUUCCAGCUACUCAGGAGACCAAGGCAGGAGAAUCACUAGAGCCCAGGAGCUCGAGGCUGCAGUGAGCCAUGAUCCUGCCACUGUGCUCCAGCCUAGGCAACAGAGCGAGACCAGGUUUCUAAAAACAAACAAAAAGGAACAGAAAGAAGCACUCUUAUCAUGGCGACAGUAUACUAAUCCUUCACUCCUGUGAGUGUCUCCGCAGCUCUUUCACUUGUGCUGUCUGAGGUUUCUAUGGCUGAGGUGACUGCUGGGCCAAGGUUUCAUGGUUCACAGUUCCAGCAGUGUCCUUGCUGGGGCCCUCCCUGCAUUCCAUCUGAGAAGAGGAGCUUCUCCAAGAGAGGAGGACUCGAUAUCAGACAAAUAUGUACAAAAACACAUUGGUCUUACCCAACCUCACACCCUCCCUGCCUGCACGACAAGGUCUAAAAUUUAAUGAUGAAGACCAUACAUUGAACUAUUCCUGUGAAGCAUUGUAUCUACCCCUCUACCCACACACUAUCUCCUUUAAUCCUUGCAACUGUCUCAAAAGAUAGACAUUUGCCCCCAUUUUACAGAUAAGGAAAACUGAGUCCUAAAGAACUGACAUGGUAGAAUUGAGAUGCACUUAACUAUUGGGGUUAGAAAGGUGUUGCCUUUAAUCACAUGUAAUUUCCCAGAAAACUGUCCCAUAACAAUUGCAAAACCUCCCCCAAAUUUUCACUGUUUGAAACAACUUUAUUUUUUUCUCCUGCUGAUUGCCUAGGACUCCAGGAAGAGCAAAGGUGACAGGUCACUCAUGACUGAAAUUAGCUUGUGAAUUUUUGCUCUAAGCUAAGGAACAAGCAUUGUGGUACAUAACACAUUGUACAUGUCUUUUGUGUUUUCUGUCACAUGAAUUGAAGAAGAAUGAAAAUCAGGGUACCAUUUGGAAAAGCAUUUUAAGGAAAUUCAAAGUAUGCUCUCUUCUGCAGUAUGUUUUCAGCAAAGAAAUUGUCUUAUUUUGAUUUGUUAAAAUAUUUUUGAUAGGUUGUCAAAUUAUCAUAGUUCUGUUUUACAUUUUAGUGUUUGAAAAAGAUAUGCUUUACUUGGCUAACUUUCUGAUAAUAAACAAACCCGUUUCCCAUCUUUACACCUCCAUGUGUUCUUUUUGAACAGAUGCUUUUUGUGUGCCAGCUCUCACAUCUGGGCUUCUCACUCACUGACAUCCAGGAAAGGGAUCUGCAGAGUUUCCAAGAGCCCGCCCCUUGUCGUUAAUCACAGGUAGCAGUGGGAGUCUUCCCCGUACCUAGAAUCAGUGUCAGUCUUGGACAAAUGGUGACUGGAAGUUUGGCUUGAUAUUCUGCCCCAUUCCUCCUUCCCAUUUACACACAGGGUUCUGUGCACAUGUGGAUACAGAAAGUAAGCCCAGAGAUGGGUCAGGGAACACAGGGAUUUGGGAAGCAUUGGAGAAGCCGGAUUAGGAACACUGGUUCAGGGCUCAGACCUGGAUGUUUGUCCCUGCAUCUACCACUUGCGUAGAUGUAUGAGCAUAGGCCUGCUUGUGCAGGCUUCAGUUUCCCUUACCUAUUAAAUAGGGGCAGUGAUAUAUUCUACAACUAUGACUCGAUAUCUGGACUUCAAAAAUACCUGUGGUCAAAAACACGUUAUUCUGAGGAUUUUUAAGUACUGAAUAAAUAAUAUUACUACUAUUAAUAUUUAACAAAAAUUGCGAAUGAGUGAGUUGGAUGCAAGUAAACAUAGAUAUCUGGUCUUCCAGGACAUGGAAUACUUAGAAAUAUCUGCAAUGCAAAAUGGCCAUUCUCAAGUAAAGGGUAGAGAGUGCAUCACAAUAGCAGCUCAUAGGAGAGGCAAAACCUAUAGCUCACUGCUGGGAUGACCAGGGAAGGCUAUGUGUUGAGCUUUCUAGACCUUGAGUACUAGUAUUUUCUGAGCAUUAAGGUAAGUAGUGAGAGCGUCUCAGUCAGAGAGAAGGGAUUUGACUUUCAGAGAUGAAAAAGCUCAAAACGUAGGCAAAGAACCAGUAGUAGGUGCAGUAAGUCGUCAGGGCUCCCCUGUCAGAAAUGCCUUUGAGACUGGCCGGUUACCCACGCAGUUAACAGGAUGACCAGGACCUGGCUCCAGCCAGUCACUUGCAGGCUCUGUAUUGGCAUAUGUUUCAAUUAUUCAGGAGAUACAAGAAAUCUGGACUUAGACAUACUAAGUCUCAUUUGGUAAAACAUGAUGAUGGUCAAAUCCAACAUGUCUCUGGUUGACUCAGAUUAUGUGUGGUGAGUGUGUGACCACUGGGAUCGUGAUGGGUGGAAAGGAGCCCUGGCCUGGGAUCCAGGAGGCCCAGGAUUAAUCCAAGCUCUGUGUCCUUGGACAGGCUUCUCACAUCCUCUGUGCAUCAGUUUCCAGAAGGCACCUUGAUAGGAGUUGUGGUUUACUAGAGCCCAACCAAGCCUUGUUAUUAUUAUUUUUUUUUUUUUUGUAGACUAAAUGUAAUCCUUGGGUUUUCAGGGUCUGAAUUAUACUACGGACCCCUGCUCUUGUUCCUCCCCCUGCCCCACUGUAUUUGUUUUAUUGUUAUGUUUCCUGUUCUUACAUUUUGUAAAGGGGCCAUUAUCUAGGGAUGAAAAUGGAUAAAAUUUGUGUACAUAAAUUAGCAUACGGAGACUUUGAGAUGGAAACGUGCCAACCUUUUCCAAAGAGAAGGCCAGAUAACAGGCUGCAAGAUUGAGCAGCUUUCCUGAGAACAGUAGAGGAAACAAUUUCCCUCAGUGCUUACCACAGAAAGGAAGGUAAAGGAACUGGAGGAUGGAUAAAAGUAUCCAAAAAGCAUGAAAGAUGAAUCGAUGGGAAACGCUGGUGCGACCACUCAAGGGGUCAUGGGUGGAAAAAGUCAUUCCAUUAAAAAAAAUAAACAGUGGAAAAAGAAUGGAGCCAUAGUCAUGGGAAAAAGUGAGAUCACAUUUAAAAACUUUCGAGAUUGGCCUGGAAAAAUAAGGCUUUAUGAGUUUAACAUGAGGACUCUAUUCUUACCACCUGUGGAGAGUAAUUGGCACUGGCCGACCAGAGGUUUGUUUUGCCUUCUUGGCAGGAGCUGAAUUGUUAUGUUAAUAGUCCGCUGGCUAAGUGUUAAGUACUGCGUUUGAAUGGAAGGAGUUUUGCAGAGGAGAAAAUUCCCACCCCAGGUUCCUAUUCCGACCACUGAGUGCUUUACGGAUUUCAGACUUCACACACUCAAAUUCUAAGAAACAAUUAGUAUCAUGGCUGAUAUUUCUAGCAUUUUAUGAGAACGAACAGUUUCUACUGGGAACUCUCCUGUAGGUGGUUUACGGCCAGAGCGUAUCCAGGCUCAGGUUUGGCCCCAAGAGCCCAUUUGGAGCUAAAGAACAAAUUUCAUCACAGCAGCAUUGCCUACCUUUUCGUACUUGUCUGUGCCAGCUCUUUUCCAUUCACAUUGGCUUCUCCUUAGAGGUCAUUCCACUGAUUUGGCUCUUAAAAUAUUUUAAUUGUCCUUCAACAAGGUGAGCCCCCAAACCUCAGGGCACUCAGGAUGAAAUAGCUUAGUAGUCGAUGCAUUAUUAAAAUGAACUUUUCCAGAUUUAAGAAUUAUCAAGUCAUCUGCUGGAUGAUUGGUUUGUCUUUUUUAGGAGGCGGCAUCUCUCUGCAGUCCUAAAACCGCUUUUAAAAUGAUCUUUCAUGUGACCUUUUGACUCUAGAUUGCUGAUUGCUGGUAAAAACUAAAGAUUGACCUAAUUUACAGUAAUUUGUGAUUGACUUAUGACCCCUUAAAAGUCUCACAUCGUUAGGGUUGCAGAAAUAGAUUGCUUCUUAAUUGCAAAUGAGCUCGUAGCUGCAAAUGACUUCACACCUCUUCCUGCAACUCACCUUCCUCCCACCUUCCUCGGGUGGUUGACUUGCUUCACAACAUCUUACCUCACUUACGCUCGUGUGCACAGAUUUCCAAAAGGUGUGAUACUGUGACUUUUUUUCUUUUCUUUCUUUCUUUUUUUUUUUUUUUUUUUUUUUGAGACGGAGUUUCACUCUUGUUACCCAGCCUGGAGUGCAAUGGUGCGAUCUCGGCUCACCGCAACCUCCGCCUCCUGGGUUCAGGCAAUUCUCCUGCCUCAGCCUCCUGAGUAGCUGGGACUACAGGCACGCACCACCAUGCCCAGCUAAUUUUUUUUGUAUUUUUAGUAGAGACGGGGUUUCGCCAUGUUGACCAGGAUGGCCUCCAUCUCUUGACCUCGUGAUCCACCCGCCUCGGCCUCCCAAAGUGCUGGGAUUACAGGCGUGAGCCACCGCGCCCGGCCGACUUUUUUUCAUGUUGUCUUUUAUGGCAGUGACAAAGGAAUUUGGUUGAAAUUAAGCCCCUGUGGUAACCACAAGGCUUAGAAGUCUAAUAAAGAAAACCCAUGUAAAUUAUAUGGAAGCUCGUGAACUAGAGAUUCUAAUUGAGCCAUUUACUUCCCCAGAAGCAAAUUAGGGAACUAGAGCUAUUAAAAUCCGUUAGGUCUCUAAGACAUCAUUUGGGCAAUUACUUCCAAUUCCAGAAAAUUUUCUGAGCUCCAUUUCUGCAUACUACAUAAUACCCAAGUAGUAUUUAAUUCAGAGAUUUCUAAACUGUGCUUCCAUCAAACAUAGAUUAACAUGGACUAAGAUUUAACACUGUUGGAACUGAACAAUGACGAAUUUCUUCCUUUCAAAAGAUGUUCUCACUUUUACAUUUAAUUGCCUGUACCUUACUUUACAAAAUAGCACUUCAGUAUAGACAACAAAAUGCUAGUUGAGGUCAGUCCUCUCCCAACAGGUAGUUAGUUAACAUUUGAAGUAUCGUCUUCAGAAAUGUACAUUUCAGGAGAGGUUACUUGGCCUGUUACAUUUCCUAACUGGAGACCCCACCGCAGACACGUUCAAAGGCAAAGCUUUGGACGAAGACUGAGCGGUUGUGUCCGCGUUGCCAACCUCGAGCAGCAGUGGCUUCUCCACGUGGAACCCGGGAGUAGGAGACUCAGAAUCGAAUCUCUUCUCCCUCCUCCCGCCUGUUUUUGGCUUUCUGAGAAGCCUUAUCCUCAGACACAAUGGCCAGCAACGUUACCAACAAGACACAUCCUCGCUCCAUGAACUCCCGUGUGUUCAUUGGGAAUCUCAGCACUCUCGUGGUCAGGAAAUCUGAUGUGGAGGCAAUCUUUUCAAAGUAUGGCAAAAUUGUGGGCUGCUCUGUUCAUAAGGGCUUUGCCUUCGUUCAAUAUGUUAAUGAGAAAAAUGCCCGGGCUGCUGUGGCAGGAAAGGAUGGCAGAAUGAUUGCCGGCCAGGUUUUAGAUAUUAACCUGGCUGCAGAGCCGGAAGUGAACCGAGAAAAGCAGGUGUGAAACCAUCUGCAGCGGAGAUGUACGGCUCCUCUUUUGACUUGGACUAUGACUUUCAACGGGAUUAUUAUGAUAGGAUGUACAGUUACCCAGCCCGUGUACCUACUCCUCCUCCUAUUGCUCAGGCUGUAGUGCCCUCGAAACCUCAGCGCAUGUAUCAGGAAACACCUCACCAAGGGGCAAAAGUGGCUUCAAUUCUAAGAGUGGGCAGUGGGGAUCUUCCAAGUCUGGAAAGUUGAAAGGAGAUGACCUUCAGGCCAUUAAGAAGGAACUGACUCAGAUAAAACAAAAAGUGGAUUCUCUCCUGGAAAACAUUGAAAAGGAACAGAGCAAACAAGCAGCAGAGAUGAAGAAUGAUAAGUAAGAAGAGGAGCAGAGCAGCAGCUCCGUGAAGAAAGAUGAGACUCAUGUGAAGAUGGAGUCUGAGAGGGCUGCAGAUGACCCUGCUGAGGAGGGGGACCUACUGGAUGAUGAUGAUAAUGAAGAUGGGGGAUGACCAGCUGGAGUAGAUCAAGGAUGAUGAAAAAGAGGCUGAGGAAGGAGAGGAUGACUCUUAAGCACAUAGUGGGGUUUAGAAAUCUUACCCCAUUAUUUCUUUACCUAGGCGCUUGUCUAAGAUCAAAUUUUUCACCAGAUCCUCUCCCCUAGUAUCUGCAGCACAUGCUCACUGUUCUCCCCAUCCUUGUCCCUCCCACCUCCAUUAAUUCAUAUUUCCCUGCACCUAGUCCCAUUUUCACUUCCUUUGACCCUCCUAGUAGUUUUGUUAAGUCUUACCCUGUAAUUUUUGCUUUUAAUUUUGAUACCUCUUUAUGACUUAACAAUUAAAAGGAUGUAUGGUUU